rnacentral:tRNA from 1 species
GGCCCGUUGGUCAAGCCGGUUAAGACACCGCCCUUUCACGGCGGUAACACGGGUUCGAAUCCCGUACGGGUCA